UGGGGAAUAACGCAUCGAAAGAUGUGCUAAUACCGCAUAUUCUCUGAGGAGGAAAGUAGGGGAUCGCAAGACCUUACGCUUUUGGAGUGGCCGAUGUCUGAUUAGCUAGUUGGUAAGGUAAAGGCUUACCAAGGCGACGAUCAGUAGUUGGUCUGAGAGGACGACCAGCCACACUGGGACUGAGACACGGCCCAGACUCCUACGGGAGGCAGCAGUGGGGAAUUUUGGACAAUGGGCGAAAGCCUGAUCCAGCAAUGCCGCGUGAGUGAAGAAGGCCUUCGGGUUGUAAAGCUCUUUCAGUUGAGAAGAAAAAGUUACGACUAAUAAUCGUGAUUCAUGACGGUAUCAACAGAAGAAGCACCGGCUAACUACGUGCCAGCAGCCGCGGUAAUACGUAGGGUGCAAGCGUUAAUCGGAAUUACUGGGCGUAAAGGGUGCGCAGGCGGUUCUGUAAGUCAGAUGUGAAAUCCCCGGGCUUAACCUGGGAAUUGCGUUUGAAGCUGCGGGGCUAGAGUGUGGCAGAGGGGGGUGGAAUUCCAUGUGUAGCAGUGAAAUGCGUAGAGAUAUGGAGGAACAUCGAUGGCGAAGGCAGCCCCCUGGGUUAACACUGACGCUCAUACACGAAAGCGUGGGUAGCAAACAGGAUUAGAUACCCUGGUAGUCCACGCCCUAAACUAUGUCAACUAGUUGUCGGGUCUUAAUAGGCUUGGUAACGUAGCUAACGCGUGAAGUUGACCGCCUGGGGAGUACGGUCGCAAGAUUAAAACUCAAAGGAAUUGACGGGGACCCGCACAAGCGGUGGAUUAUGUGGAUUAAUUCGAUGCAACGCGAAAAACCUUACCUACCCUUGACAUGUCAGGAACUUUUCAGAGAUGGCUUGGUGCCCGAAAGGGAGCCUGAACACAGGUGCUGCAUGGCUGUCGUCAGCUCGUGUCGUGAGAUGUUGGGUUAAGUCCCGCAACGAGCGCAACCCUUGUUGUUAAUUGCCAUCAUUUAGUUGGGCACUUUAAUGAGACUGCCGGUGAUAAACCGGAGGAAGGUGGGGAUGACGUCAAGUCCUCAUGGCCCUUAUGGGUAGGGCUUCACACGUAAUACAAUGGCGCGUACAGAGGGUUGCCAACCCGCGAGGGAGAGCUAAUCUCAGAAAGCGCGUCGUAGUCCGGAUCGGAGUCU
rnacentral:rRNA from 1 species